rnacentral:rRNA from 1 species
AUACGGAGGGGGCAAGCGUUGUCCGGAUUUACUGGGCGUAAAGGGUGCGUAGGCGGCGUGGUAAGUCUCAUGUGAAAUCUCCCGGCUCAACUGGGAGGGGUCAUGGGAUACUGCCAUGCUCGAGGGCAGUAGAGGAGAGCGGAAUUCCGGGAGUAGCGGUGAUAUGCGUAGAUACCCGGAGGAACACCCGUGGCGAAAGCGGCUCUCUAGGCUGUACCUGACGCUAAGGCACGAAAGCGUGGGGAGCAAACCGAAUUAGAAACCCGAGUAGUCC